rnacentral:rRNA from 1 species
UGAGGAAUAUUGGUCAAUGGGCGAGAGCCUGAACCAGCCAAGUAGCGUGCAGGAUGACGGCCCUAUGGGUUGUAAACUGCUUUUAUAUGGGAAUAAAGUGAGGGACGUGUCCCUUAUUGCAUGUACCAUACGAAUAAGGACCGGCUAAUUCCGUGCCAGCAGCCGCGGUAAUACGGAGGAUACGAGCGUUAUCCGGAUUUAUUGGGUUUAAAGGGUGCGUAGGUGGCUGAUUAAGUCAGUGGUGAAAAGCUAUGGCUCAACCAUAGUCUUGCCGUUGAUACUGGUUAGCUUGAGUGUAGAUGAUGUAGGCGGAACGUGUAGUGUAGCGAUGAAAUGCAUAGAUAUUACGCAGAACUCCGAUUGCGAAGGCAGCUUACAAAACUACUACUGACACUGAGGCACGAAAGCGUGGGUAUCAAACAGG